UACGGAGGGUGUAAACGUUGUUCGGAUUUAUUGGGCGUAAAGCGCACGCAGGCGGUUUGUCAGGUCGGGUGUGAAAUCCCAGGGCUCAACCCUGGACUUGCGCUCGAAACCGGCAGACUCGAAUUCAGCAGGGGAAGGUGGAAUUCCUGGUGUAGGGGUGAAAUCCGUAGAUAUCAGGAGGAAUACCCAUGGCGAAGGCAGCCUUCUGGGCUUGAAUUGACGCUGAGGUGCGAAAGCGUGGGGAGCAAACAGG
rnacentral:rRNA from 1 species